CAGGGAGACAAACCUAAUCGUGAUGUCUGAGUAAAUUUAGUCUCAGGCCAUGAUUCUGUCACCUUAGGUCGAUCGGUACCUCAAGGAGCGGAUGGGAGAACCUGAGCAAUCAGGGGAGACCUAUUUGCUUUUUCAGUUUCUAAACGUUGUCUAGGUCACCCCAUAGCUCCUGGGCCAUUAGCUCAGGUGGUUAGAGCGCACCCCUGAUAAGGGUGAGGUCCCUGGUUCAAGUCCAGGAUGGCCCAUGCACCGCCUGCUAAGCAGGCAGGACUUGCUGGCUGGGGGUUUAGCUCAGUUGGUAGAGCGCCUGCUUUGCAAGCAGGAUGUCAGCGGUUCGAGUCCGCUAACCUCCAUAUCAACGGAGAAACCCACAAGCGCAAGCAAGUGAGCUGAGCGGGAGUGAACCAGACAGGGAAGGAGAGGAGCUGAGGAUGACUCCAGCCUUCAGGAUUGGGGCGCAAAGCAGCGCACCGGUUCAUACUGUAUCGCAAUGGAUCGGUAUGAAUGAAGAGAUCUUGAAUGCUGGACUCACAGCUUUCAACGAGAGUUGAGAGUUGAGAUGUUCAGCGAAGAACCUUGACAACUGCAUAGGUGAGUCUGGAAAGAAAGCAUCUCAUGGAUGUCCAGUGAAAGCUGGAGAUUCUAUUGAGUUUAGAGCCGAGACUUUCCAGUGUUCUUCCAAGUAUCUAGCCAAUCCAGCUGGGGAAAGGGAGUUUGAUUGUGGCAUUCAAACCACGAGCCACUUUACUGAGGAGCUACCAAAAGUAGGGAUUCAGGGAAGUGAGUGAGCAGGUGAAUCCGCGAGAAUAGGCCUCAACAGCCUGAAGCACUGGGAAGGAAAUU
rnacentral:tRNA from 1 species